rnacentral:rRNA from 1 species
AAAAGAACCUGAAACCGUGUACGUACAAGCAGUGGGAGCACCCUUUGGGUGUGACUGCGUACCUUUUGUAUAAUGGGUCAGCGACUUAUAUUCUGUAGCAAGGUUAACCGAAUAGGGGAGCCGGAGGGAAACCGAGUCUUAACCGGGCGUUAAGUUGCAGGGUAUAGACCCGAAACCCGGUGAUCUAGCCAUGGGCAGGUUGAAGGUUGGGUAACACUAACUGGAGGACCGAACCGACUAAUGUUGAAAAAUUAGCGGAUGACCUGUGGCUGGGGGUGAAAGGCCAAUCAAACCGGGAGAUAGCUGGUUCUCCCCGAAAGCUAUUUAGGUAGCGCCUCGUGAAUUCAUCUCCGGGGGUAGAGCACUGUUUCGGCUAGGGGGCCAUCCCGGCUUACCAACCCGAUGCAAACUGCGAAUACCGGAGAAUGUUAUCACGGGAGACACACGGCGGGUGCUAACGUCCGUCGUGAAGAGGGAAACAACCCAGACCGCCAGCUAAGGUCCCAAAGUCAUGGUUAAGUGGGAAACGAUGUGGGAAGGCCCAGACAGCCAGGAUGUUGGCUUAGAAGCAGCCAUCAUUUAAAGAAAGCGUAAUAGCUCACUGGUCGAGUCGGCCUGCGCGGAAGAUGUAACGGGGCUAAACCAUGCACCGAAGCUGCGGCAGCGACACUGUGUGUUGUUGGGUAGGGGAGCGUUCUGUAAGCCUGUGAAGGUGUGUCGUGAGGC